GUUGAAUAAGACAUGCACAAGAUUUUAAUGGUGAUUAUUAUAGAUAGACUACGCAAUAGCUAAUCUAUUAAAAAAAUAUCUAUAUCUUACAGCAAACUAGUAUGCAUAUCGCUGGUCGGCAGCAGCAAGGAGUGGAGCGUUUCCAUGCCCGAUACCGAGGAGAUCCUGUGCGUCACGGCGGGCAGCGACGUCGUCGCGUGUGCGACUAACGCGAGGUUGCUGCGGCUGUUCACGCCAAUGGGCACGCAGAGACAGGUCUGAUGAUGCUUCGACUUCAAGGGUAAAAACGAAUAAAACCACAGAUUGUAUACGAGGAACACCGCCAAAAUAUGGCUACAGCAACAUAGAAAUGACUCCACGAAAAAAAAAACUUGUAAAAAAGUUGCAGCGAACACAGUGUUUGUUAUCAUCACUCUCAAAAACAUCCGUCGAUUUGGACAAUUGAGACAGACAGAUUUAACAGACAUAGAAAAUCAACCUAUUGUAUAUUUAAGCGGUUACAUAGCUUAUAGACUGUUGAAGAACGUAGGCUGUCAAAUGUGUUCUAAUUUGCUGAAACUGGAAGAUGUUACAGAUCACCCAAUGUAUAAAUUUAUAAGCUUGCGGGAGUGGUGGCAAGAAAAGAAAUCAUUAACGUACCCAUCUAUCCAGCUGUGUCGUACAAUUGAGGAAGCGAAAAACUAUUUUGAAAAAAAUAGUCAUUUAUUAUAUGAAGAAAAUGUCGGGCAAAUGUUUUGCACACUUUUUGCGGCAAACAUUAACAUAACCUGGUGGACAUGUAAGGAACAUGAGGAUUUCAUGAAAAAACAAUUAUUUUGGUUUGUGACCAAAAUCUUAAUUAGAAGACAGUGCCAAAUAUUAAAUUCGGAUAUUAUUAAAACAGAAGAAAUUUCUGCGAACGCUGCAAAGAUAGCUCAACUAAGAAGCGCUGCAAAAUAAUAUAUGUAAUUACGAGUAUGCAAUAUCAAUUCCACGCGGACGAAGUCGCGGGCAACACCGCGACUUCGUCCGCGUGGAAUCUUAUCUUCAACAUUUUACAUCUUUAGUACCUAUAAUUUUCAUAUCCAAGCAAUGUUGACAUUUUUUAGCAAGUUGUAUGAAGUUUUAAGUCAAGUGGAUUUUGAUGUUGGUUGCUGAAAUUACUUUUCUUGUAUUCUUAUAAUAGGUACCUAUGCCCUUAUACAAAGAUUCAAGUUCCGCAUUCCGCACUCACAAAAUAUCUGAUCUCCAUACAAACUUUCAACCCCUUUUUCACCACCUUAGGGGAUGAAUUUUCAUAAAUGCUGAAAUGAGUUUUCUUGUAUUUUAAUUUAAAACGUUUUUACAAAGUUUCAAGUUCCUUGCUUAAAAUAAAAUUUGCACCCGCAGACAAACUUCCAUCCCCUUUUUAACCCCCUUAGGGGUUGAAAUUCCAAAAACGUUGCAAUCACUUUUUUUUGCAUACGGCUAUUAUGCCUUUCUAAGAAGUUUCAAAACCAUUUGUAAUGGAUUCAAACUUUCAACCCCUUUUUAACCCUGUUAGGGGAUGAAUUUUACAAAACGCUGAAAUUACUUUUCCUGUCUUCUAAUAAUAUCCCUAAAUACAAAGAUUCAAGUCCAACACUCGAAAAAAUGUUUGAUAUCCAUACAAACUUUCAACCCCUUUUUCAUCACUUUAGAGGUUGAAUUUUCAAAAACGCUGAAAUUAGUUUUCUUGUAUUUAAAUAAUAUAUCUUUUAACGAAGUUUCAAAUUCGUAGCUCAAAAGAAAACUUUAACCCCAUACAAACUUUACGUUCAUAACAUAAGCGUAUUGUAAUAAUAAACUAUCUGUAUCAUAUCUUUAAUAUGUUAAAUAAAAUUAUUUUUAUAUUU